ACUGUAAAGGAUAAAGCAAUUUAAGAUAGUAAGGAUUAAUUCCUGUACCUUUUGUAUAAGGGUUCUUCAAGAAAUAAAACAUAUGUUUGUACCCCGAAAGAAAAAAAGUUACUUUUUUUCAUACAUUUAACGUGGCAGAGUUAAAUUAUAAAACAAGGUGAAAGUGACAUGCUAUUUGCUUUUUUUGAUAUCUGGUUGGUUUAAAAAAAUAUAUAGUAUUGGCUAUUUUUAUAGUCUCAGAACUUUUGGGAUAAGCUGAAAGUAUUUAAUUUGAAUCUGAAUAAAAUAUAGGACUUUUAUAGGCUUUAUAUUAGUUCAUUUUUAGUUUGUCAUAAAUAAGGUCCUGUGGUAGGAAAUAAGAAUUAUGUUUUCAUUGUUUAUAAUAAACCUAUAAGCUUGAGCUUAAUAAUAAUGAUAGAAAUGAGUAAAUGGAUAAGAUUAAGUAUAGAAAUACUAAUUAAAAUAAUGCAAUUUUAAGUCCCAGUAAUGAACUCGGCAAAUUAUAUUCCUCGACUGUUUAACAAAAACAUUUCUCAUAGAAAUUGAUUAUGGGUAGGCCCUGCCCGGUGUAGAUAGUUAAUACCUAUUUAUUAACGGCGGCAUUAACGUGAGUGUCCUAAGGUAGCGCGAUAAUUUGCCCUUUAAUUGGGGGAUGGUAUGAAAGGGUUAACGUGGGAAUUCCUGUGUCACUGGGUUUAUUUGAAAUUAUUUUUAAAGUGAAGAAACUUUAAUAAAGCAGAAAGACGACAAGACCCUAUGAAGCUUUAUUAUUUAACCUAUGAAUGUAGGUUUAUAUUUUUAAUGGGGCAUUAUAAAUAAAAUUUUAAUAUAUUUAUCUUACUAGAUACAACUGUAUACAUAUAAGGUUAGCUACUCUAGGGAUAACAGCGAAAUUUCUUUUGCUAGAAGUUAUUAAAAAAGAAGUUUUCGACCUCGAUGUUGGCUUUAGGUAACCAUUGGGUGUAUCAGCUCAAAUGCGUGGGUUUGUUCAACCUUUAAUUCCUAACAUGAGCUGAGUUCAGAACGGCGUGAGCUAGUUCAGUUUCUAUCUUCUGUUAAAUAAAGGUGGGUUUGGUACGCAAGGAACAAUUCAUCCAGAUAAUCUGUAUUUUCAUUAAGCU
rnacentral:rRNA from 1 species